rnacentral:rRNA from 1 species
UACGUAGGGUGCGAGCGUUAAUCGGAAUUACUGGGCGUAAAGCGUGCGUAGGCGGUUCGUUGUGUCUGUGGUGAAAGCCCCGGGCUUAACCUGGGAAUGGCCAUGGAAACUGGCGAGCUGGAGUGUGGCAGAGGGGGGUGGAAUUCCGCGUGUAGCAGUGAAAUGCGUAGAUAUCGGGAGGAACACCUGUGGCGAAGGCGGCCCCCUGGUUGGAUACUGACGCUGAGACGCGAAAGCGUGGGGAGCAAACAGG